rnacentral:rRNA from 1 species
UACGUAGGUGGCAAGCGUUGUCCGGAUUUACUGGGCGUAAAGCGUAUGCAGGCGGGAUCUUAAGUAGGAAGUGAAAGGUUGGAGCUCAACUCUAACACUGCUCCCUAUACUGGGGUUCUUGAGUGCCGGAGAGGAAGACGGAACGACACGUGUAGCGGUGAAAUGCGUUGAGAUGUGUCGGAACACCAAUGGCGAAAGCAGUCUUCUGGACGGAUACUGACGCUGAGAUACGAAAGCCAAGGUAGCAAAACAGG